ensembl:antisense Gm28809 predicted gene 28809
NNNNNNNNNNNNNNNNNNNNNNNNNNNNNNNNNNNAGCUCCACAUUGAAUGAUCAAGGGUAGGAAGAGCAAAGCGCUCAAGUUGGAACCUGCAUCUGGCUCCCAAAGGAUGGUCUCUAAGAGCUACACAGAGGGGGAUGCCCUGGAUCUUCUGCCUCUGACCUCAAGUGCUGGGGUUGCCUCCAUGCAGCGGAGUACUGCAGCUCAAGAACUACUGGGAGUUAACACCCAAGUUAAGCUUCGUGAGGCUUUUCUGUGUGUCUGGCCGCCUGAGAACACAGCCGACCUACGUGGUGACCUUGACCUGACCAGAGCUCUGUCUCAGAUGGCUUCCAUAGUCAUGGUCAGUCAGAGAAGAGGAAACAGGCCCGAAGAGCGACACCUCGCUAAGGUGUCCAGGGAUUAGAUGUGCACACUCCUGCUGGCCUACAUAUCCUGUGUGGCCCUGAAGCUCUCAUCCCACCCACAGAAGUGAAGAUGGUCCCAGAGGCGGGAGGUGACCCUUCUUGUUCAGCUUUCAAACAGGGGCAUGCACAUGAGCAGUGUUGGCCAGUGGCACUUACAGAGCCACUUGGCUGAAUCUCCUCACCCAUCACGACAUGUUUUGAGCGCUAUACAGCAGACAAGGUUUCCAAAGUGCUGUGUCAGCCGGGCGUGGUGGCACACGCCUUUAAUCCCAGCACUUGGGAAGCAGAGGCAGGCGGAUUUCUGAGUUCGAGGCCAGCCUGGUCUACAAAGUGAGCUCCAGGACAGCUAGAGCUAUACAGAGAAACCCUG